UUGCUCACUUUGGCAGCACAUAUACUAAAUUUGAAACAAUACAGAGAAGAUUAGCAUGGCCUCUGUGCAAGGAUGACACACAAGUUUGUGAAGCAUUCCAUUUUUUA
rnacentral:snRNA from 1 species